AAUCUGUACGUGUGGCAACACUGUUCGCAAGAUAGUUGAGAGACUUGCAGUUCCAUGUUCCGAGUUUUCAAUCUCUAGUCCAUGUUCUUUGCCUUGCAUGGCCUGCACCAACCCUCAUGUUUCGCUGGAGAACCAUCGUACACAGGUUUUUAGAGUUCCUGCUAGCACGAAGACAGUGAUCAGUGAUCAUGGAGAACAGACGCUGUUUUGAGCCGCACCUCCGUGGUGAACAGACGCAUGUGGAGGAAACAUCGGAGCACGCCGUUUUUGAUACCGACCAGCGUGCAGAUAACGCCGGAUCGUGGCAAGUGAACAAUUGUGAGGGCUGUAGUAAUGGAUGGUACCAUACGAGAGUAGCUGUGACGGAGUACGCGUCAUGUUGGAGGGUACUACAGUACCCUCCAACUACAAUCUACUACUACAAUCGUUCGCUAGCUGGUCCUGAUUUAACUGGACUGCUAUUUAACUGGGUGAAUGUUAACUGGUUCUUGGACCAGUUAAAAAGCAGAAUUUCGUAAACAAUCGACGCCAUAUUUAAAUGGAAGAUUUUCUGUGAGGACCAUUCGAAUAAAAAAAAAAUUUCGAUUGGUGAGAAACUCUCCGGCUCUCCGCUGGGAGCAAAAAUUCUGUGAGGGCGACUGUGACGGGGGACGCGUCAUGGCAAUGGAGGGCAAUUCCUAAUCGGUACACGUCUCGACGGAUAAACGGAUAAUUGCGAGAUGAAAUGGAAGCGACGUGGAGAACAAAAUACCUGCCUGGCAACGGAAUAGAAAUCCCGCGAGGGUGGCUGUGACUGGUUACGCAUCAUGUCGGAGUGCAAUUUCCUAUCGGUGUACCGAUGAUACUUCGCUACUAAGCUUGUCAGAUUUAUUGUUUUCCAAGGAUAUAGACCAGCAGGAUGGUAGGAAUAGCCAUCCGCGGCCAUAUUCCGGCACUGAUAUUGUGUCCAGAGAAAUAAGUAGUCAUCUUCCUCUAGAGUGACUUUUGUUAUACCCUCCUGCGCCUGGUAAUACGCAGUACGCCAUAACACGACUUUUAAAAAAAUCCAACCAACAUAGGUGUCGGACAUCUCCACCUAUCGUAUGUGGUUGUUCCACCACGUUUUCUAGUCAAGCAUUAUCAUGCAGGCUGACGAGACUUUACUCUGUCAAGCCUCCACAACACACAAUCUGCAAAGAAGUUGUUCCGCCACGUAUUCCAAACAUAUACUAUCGUACCCCAUGCGCAGUACCCUCUCCGCUUGUGGGGACAGACAUGACACACGUUAAGCUAGUUAAUUUGGCUCUACUGGAAAAAUCAGAAUAAAAUUUUGAGUGAAAUUGGUGUUGAUGAAAAAAUUGCCUCAUUACAACAAAGAAAAACUCUCAAUAUGGUACCCUCUUCAAAUAAUCGAAGGGUAAUUGAGGGAGUCUAAUAUAAAAAAGUUAACCAAAUUUUUCUUUCAAGGUUGGAAAACUAUUUAGCAAAAUAACAUUCAUAUGGUCACGCUGCUACAACAUUUAUUCAAUAAAUUUUAAUAUCACUUAUAAAGAUG